rnacentral:lncRNA from 1 species
UAACUUCUACUAAAAAUAUAUAAGGGGUAUUUAUAGUACAUGAGAAAACCCUAAAAUAAAAAUCCGGAUGAAAAAGAACAAAAAAGGUUGGUGGCCACUUACCUAUGUCCACAUAUAACCUGGACUUGGGCUAAUGUUCCAUAUGCGGCCUGACUCUGGGAGCAUGUAGACAUGGGUAAGUUCUAGAAAAAAUUUCUGCACUGUUUGCUCUUAGGACUUUGGACUUCUGGCACUUACCUUACCCAUAUGCGGCCCGUAUGUUGAGAUAGGUAAGUGCCAGAAGUUCUUUUUCAGCUCUUUCACUCUCUGGAUCUCUAAUUCUGGUACUUGCCUUAGUCACAUAAGGACAACAUGUGCUAUAUGCGGUCCGCAUGUAGACAUAGGUAAGUGUCAGGCCUUCUAAAUAUUAUAACCAAGCUUCCAAACUUCAAGUUUCAAUACAUGCUUUGAUCACGUACAUCCAAAAAGUGCCACAAAUUCCAA